AAAAAAAAAAAAAAAAAAAAAAAACGGCUUUGCAAAAUUAUGGAGGCUGACCUCAAACUUGGGAUUCUCCUGCCUCAGCUUCCCAAGUUGUUGGGAUUAUAGGUGUGUCCCGCUGUGCCUAGCCAAUAUUACUUAUAUACUCAGAAAAAAAAAAUUAAAGUGCAAAAACUGGGAAAAAGCACCCAUGGCUGUUGACAAGUGACUGGGAUAAAUGACCCUGUUCUGGAGUUCAGCUUUUGCCAUCGUGUGCCAGGCCCUGCCCAAGGGUCUUUACAAGAUCUUCCAGCUGUUCAGAAGUGAGGGCAAGCUCAAUUCAGAUCACAGACAUCUAUUGAGUGCCUAUUAGCUGUCUGUUAAACACUUGCCACAAAUGUGAAGACAGCCCUUGCAUAUUGUUGGUAAUCUCAACAUUAGGGGAUGCAUGCUCCGUCUGAGACAUUUGAGGAAUUCUGUGGGAACACUUGGGAAACCUGAAAGUGUUUGGAAAGGGUUGAUACCGAAGAUUUCUUUACAUUUUUUUGUACUAUAUAAUUUAUUACAUUUUAAUUUUAUUUCCAACUUUUAAAAAUCAGUUCUGUGAGCUGAUGUAUUACAAGAACAGUUGAAUUCACAGUCUCACCAAGCUUCUCAGAUGUAGUUCUGGCUACUGAUUGGCAAUUAGUAGGAACUUGGAAUAGAGAUGCCAUGUUAGCUUUUUGUUCCUUAUAUAUUUUUUGAUUUUUAAAAAAAAAUAUAUUUUAAUGUUUUUUCUUAUUACAAAGAAGAAAAAAUUACAGUUAACUACUUCUAAUACUUUGGGGUAUGUAUUUUCAGUUAUUUUGACCUCUUUCUGAAUAUGAUAUUUAUACAUCAACAUGCAUAAAUGUGAUAAUACAAAUUUUUCUUUUGGUGUUUUUACAAAAAUAAGAAUUUAUGUGGACCUUGAAGAAUGGAUAGGAUUGGAUCAAGCAAAGAGGAGCUGCCUACAGAAGAAAAUGGCCUGAGAACAGUGCAAAGGCAAACGCUAUCUUAUCAUCAUUUUGAAAGGAAAUCUCUGGAGAAAAGAUUGGAGAACAACAUCGACUUGGUCCUAGAUGGCCUUGUCUGUCAGAAUAAAGCACUUGGUCCCUGGGGGAGAGUAAGACGUUUUAAGGAGAGAACCACAAGACAUUAUAAGGAGAGUUUUCAAAACUAAAGACACCAGGACCAGGAGUGGUGGAACAAAAACCUAUAAUCUCAGCAACUCAGGAGGCUGAAGCAAGAGGAUCGCCAAGUUUAAGGUCACCAAGCAGAGGGAAUCAAGUGUGAAUUCUUCCGACUCCUCCCACCUGCAGACUUCUCCAUCUGGCCAGCCCUUCCUUCCUCCAGUCUCAGAGAGGUGGGUGUUCUUUUCACAUUAGCUCUUGGC